rnacentral:misc_RNA from 1 species
UGUACUUUUAAUUGCAAAUGAAAUCUGCACGUUAUGGUGCAAUUGCUCGUGUUUCAUCAAAAUUUCAUUAAAAAGCCAUUAUAUGUCUGUUUAAUUACUAUACCAAAAUAUUAAUAUGGUUAAACCCAGCUUCAAUUAAUUUUCAAAAUUUGAAAAUAGUAUAUCAUUUGUGCAAGAGAGAUAAUUGUAUAACAAUUACUAAAACAGCUCAGGUGGAUGGGUGCAAAGAAAAACUUUUUCCGUUCCAUCCCUCCAUCAAUCUAAGCAGUUGGGACCUUCUCAUUCGUCAUCUCUUCUUAUGGUUUAGUAAUUGUAGA